rnacentral:rRNA from 1 species
GAUGAACGCUGACAGAAUGCUUAACACAUGCAAGUCGACUCGAGUCUUCGGACUUGGGUGGCGGACGGGUGAGUAACGCGUAAAGAACUUGCCUCAUAGUCUGGGACAACAUUUGGAAAUGGAUGCUAAUACCGGAUAUUAUACUUUCUUCGCAUGGAGGAAGUAUGAAAGCUAUAUGCGCUAUGAGAGAGCUUUGCGUCCCAUUAGCUAGUUGGUGAGGUAACGGCCCACCAAGGCGAUGAUGGGUAGCCGGCCUGAGAGGGUGAACGGCCACAAGGGGACUGAGACACGGCCCUUACUCCUACGGGAGGCAGCAGUGGGGAAUAUUGGACAAUGGACCAAAAGUCUGAUCCAGCGAUUCUGUGUGCACGAUGACGUUUUUCGGAAUGUAAAGCGCUUUCAGUCGGGAAGAAGCAAGUGACGGUACCGACAGAAGAAGCGACGGCUAAAUACGUGCCAGCAGCCGCGGUAAUACGUAUGUCGCAAGCGUUAUCCGGAUUUAUUGGGCGUAAAGCGCGUCUAGGCGGCAAGGAAAGUCUGAUGUGAAAAUGCGGGGCUCAACUCCGUAUUGCGUUGGAAACUGCCUUACUAGAGUACUGGAGAGGUAGGCGGAACUACAAGUGUAGAGGUGAAAUUCGUAGAUAUUUGUAGGAAUGCCGAUGGGGAAGCCAGCCUACUGGACAGAUACUGACGCUAAAGCGCGAAAGCGUGGGUAGCAAACAGG